UUCAUAAGUCCACCGAAGGGAUUUUCC
rnacentral:sRNA from 1 species